AUGUCCGAGUCUUUAAAGGCCAAGCCUGCCGCGCCAUCUCCCAAAAUGUCCCCUCUCCAGACAAGUGCAAUUCUUGAGUACCUGAGCCUUCCAGGAUUUAUUGAAAUGAGUGUGGACGAGCCUGUGGAAGAAGCUGAAGAGACGGACUCGGCUGUGCAAAGCUCAGAAGUGAAGCCAGACAAAUCUGGAGUCGCUAAGCCCGAUGUCGUUCCUAAAAACUGGGAGGUUCAUGUUCAGGAAAACCGGGACCGGACUGCUUUGAACCAAGAGGAGGUUUGCUUUCAGGGAGCGAGUUCUGCAGGGAGCGCACAGGCCAGUGUUGAUAGGAGUAGAAGCAGACGUUCUCCUCAUGUUCAGACGAGAGUUAGAUUCCCCGACGACACUCGAUCAUCCUCACCCGGUCCAGAAAAAACUAGCAAGCAGCUCUAUGAUGAGAAAACGCAAAUCCGACUCGGGAGGAGCGCAGACAGGCCUGAAUCCAGGCUGGGAUCGAGGUCGGCUCACACGUUGUUCAGCGCAGCUAAAGGAAUGGCGGACAUAGUGUCAAAGCACUCGCAGAGUUUUUUAGGCGGCAGUGAGUUUUCGGAGCAGUCCCAAAGACAGCCUUCUCAGGGCAGCAGGACUAACAACAUUGCGUCGCGGAUAUGUCAAGCCCCGGUGCCGUUCCUCAAGAAGUCCUUAAGCAUCGGCCCUUGCAGGACUCUUUCGGGAAUGGGACAGCCUCGUCCGUUUCUGAAGAAGUCCAUCAGCUUAGGCCCGCAGAGGUGGGAGCACUUCGAGAGCCCGAGGCCGUACAUUUCUGAGAGGUGUUACUGGGACGAGUUCCCGAGCCCCGACGUCAGGGUCAAGUCCUACAGUCUGGGCCGCAUGCCUUCCUCCUUCCUCGCGCCGGGCCCCUCCUGGAGAGAGUACAUCCCGAUUCGGCGGCCCAGCAUGGGGAGCUUAGAGAGGCCUCAUCACGCACAGAGAUCUCUAGCCAGUCCUCCCUACCUCGCCGCCUCUGUGUACCCCCCCAGACUCACCUCGGUCUCCCCAAUGCUGGAACCCGCCGACCCUCGACGGCAAGCCGCGGUUUUCCCAGAGUCCUCCAGGUGGUCUCCUUCUUAUCCCUCUUAUCAGGAAUCUCUGAGGUCAGUCCAACAUAAAUAUGUCCCCAUGCACCCCCGAAUCCCCGCCCCCCAGUACCAGCAGUGGCCAGGAUCCAGAGGAGACUGUAUGAGACCCGUGGACCCCAGAAGAGGUCCGCCGAGGUCCUACCUGCCCCGGGGCAUCAGCUGGCCCUCCCCUUACUACGCCCCCUUCCCCCCCAGAGACGGAGAGAGCUACAGGCAGCCAGAGAGGAUGAUGGUGAGGGGCGGGGAGACGGAGCUCAGGGAGGUCAGGGAGGUCAGGGAGGGCGGCAGGGCCAGCUAUGCCAGCCAGAGCAGCGGCAGAGGAAGCGCCGGCCUCUUCCGACAGUCGCUGUCCGUCACCCCCACGCUGCUCAGCUCCCCAGAAACCACAGAGGAGAACGAGCGGCACAGAGCGGAGGUGGAGCUGCCUGAGAGGAGAGCGAAAAGAAGGAACACAUCAGUAGAUGAGAGUUAUGAGUGGGACUCUGCUGAUGCCUGCGUGGACUCGGAGGUCCUGGAGGCCACGAGGUUUGGUCAGUCUCAAACACCGAGACACGAUCAGGCUCAUGGCCUCCAGGACCAGCUGCAGAAAGGCCCAUCUCCCCCCGUCAACCCACCUCGCUGCCAGCUCACCCGCUCCCUAAGCGAGGCGCGUUUCAACGCUCUCCGCCUGGAGUACCAGGAGUACAGGCGGGCUCAGGAGUCCGUCUGUCCCCGUGAGCCCCGCCUGGCCCCCGGCCACGAUUCAGACUCGGACUCCAGCUCAGCUCUGCUCUAGCAGCUGAACCCGGUCGGUUAAAGAGUCAGCCCAAACAGCGGUUUCAGUGAAGCGACGGCGGCGCUGCGGUCCCGGACACCAGUCUGGUGCUUUCAUACAAGAAAGAACUCGUUCUUUAACAGUUUGACCACUGCUGAGAGACGUGACGCUGCUGCUGCUCCUCCGCCGCCGACGUCUUCGUUUGUUUGAGAAGCUGAGAAGGUUUUAUUUAUUAUUUUUCAGGAAGCUUGUGUUUUGGGGUUUGGGGAAUCUCGACAAUCAGGCAGACAGAAAUGAGACGCUCAGAGGAUUUAAAAAAGAUGCGCUUUAUAAAAGCAGCGGUAUGCUGAAUAGUGAGGGCUGUAUUUAAAAAAAAAAUGCCAGUUGAAUUCAAGACUUGACCCUUUAGUGAUAAAGGGACGCUUGUGACAAUUAUUACGGUUUUGCGCAUAAGAUAACAUCUGUGUGCGUCUGUGAUGCCAAUCAAACUGUGCUUGAAGCAUUUUCACCAAAAUCCCCUCAACAAGACCUAAGAACAAGAGAAAAAAAAUCAGAAAUCUAAGAAAUUCCGUCGUUCGCCCCCUUGGUGUGUCUGAUUUAAACAUCCUAAAACUGUGAUUAGUCUAUUUAAGCAAAGCAUUUAUUCACCUGCUGUUGGCCUGAAGUCUUAAUUCUGUUUCAUUCCUGCUAUCUGACCCAUUAUCAGCCUCUCAGCCGAGGCUUUCUGUCGCUCCCAGUAUUUGUUCAAAGUGUAUAAAUGUUCAUAUAUAGUCUGACGUGACUGAAUCCUGCUGUUGUAUCGUUUAUUCUUCAUUUGUUCAUCAGAAGACGGAAGGCGACUUUACUCCACCUCUGUGAUUCAACACUGUAAAACUUGAUGAGAAAAACAGGGAAAGACGAUUCUGCCUUAUUAUUUGUCGCAUUUUGUUCGUGUUGUGCUUGUUUGACAAAAGGGUCGACAAGAGGCGAACAGGAGGAACUGAAAGACGCCGAACUCCUCUGUUUUCGUGCUGACAUGAGUUUUUCUGUGUAUUUAUUGAGGCGAGUUUCGAUAUGCAACAAUGUUUACAACCACAUCGCCGAUGUGAAGGCAACACUGUGAAUUUUUCCUCGACUUCUGAUUCUGUGUUUGAAUCGCAGGAAGUCUGUUGUUAUGAAUUUUGUGCCCAUUAGCCUACUUGUUCAUGUUGGUUUUCUACUGAAUUACAAAUGCAGCGCUUUGGGUUUUUUUGUGCGUCACCUGACAAACAGAGAUCUAAAGAAAGUCUUUGUAGCUUCACUUUGCAAAGAGUCAACAUUUGUAUUAUAUUUACUUAAAAAAAAAACGAUGAAAAAUCCUCAUGUGGAGUUAGUAUGCAUUUCUGAUGAUGGCUUUGGAAGCUUUGUACAAACUGGAAAAAUUUUAUAUCUCGACACCUGGUUGUUUUUGUCAUUUUUAUAUGUUUGUAAUGAAUAAAUUGUUUUAUUCUGAAAGCA
rnacentral:lncRNA from 1 species